rnacentral:tRNA from 2 species
GGGCGUGUGGCCUAGCGGAUAGGGCGGAAGGUUCCUAACCUUCAGACCGCGGGUUCGAAUCCCGUCACGCCCG